rnacentral:rRNA from 1 species
UACGUAGGGAGCGAGCGUUGUCCGGAAUCAUUGGGCGUAAAGAGCGCGUAGGUGGAUCAAUUAGUCUGCUGUGAAAGUCAAAGGCUCAACCUUUGAAAGCCGGUGGAUACUGUUGAUCUAGAGUACGGAAGAGGCGAGUGGAAUUCCUGGUGUAGCGGUGGAAUGCGCAGAUAUCGGGAGGAACACCGGUGGCGAAGGCGGCAUCCUGGACCGGCAUUGACGCUGAGGCGCGAAAGCCAGGGGAGCAAACGGG